AACAGGUAGUCGAUAAGCACUAAAACUGAUUUUUCACAGUUUUCUUCUUCUAUUUCAGAAGCAACACCGAAGACUAUUCUGGACCUGAUGGAUUUAGAUGGACUCAAUCUUUACCACGUUAAGAGUCAUUUACAAGAAUUACUUGAGUUAGGGGAGAGUGUUGGAACACAAAGUCGGGGUCUCACCCAAGAACUUAUUUCAUUGCUACCUGUUUCAAAAUACAAGUGCAGCUUAUUCUUAAGGAAGAAAUCAAGGAAAGAGAGGAAAAACCAACUACACUAGAUUGCGGUCCAAGAACAAUUUGCAGAAGGCACAUAAUGGCUGGCUCCUACCUCUACAAAUGCAUGUGGGAGGCAUUGCAGCAGCGAAUAAGAAUGAUAUUGAUCAACAUGCAGUUGACACCGUAUGUGCUCUGAAUUCAAAUUCAGGUGUGAGUUUCAGAUAUUUUAUGUGCAAAAAAGUAUUAGAGUGCCUUAUGUUUGUAUGUUAGUUAAGCAGAUUAUAGAUAGAAUCUGCAGUAGGAUUACCUAAUUAGUUGAUUAAAAACUACACCUAGUUUUGUAAUAGUCUACUUGCAUAUUUGCAUAUAUUUAAUAAUAAUCUCGUGUCAACUAA